rnacentral:lncRNA from 1 species
GUGCCAUGGGACCAUAUACAUGGCUAUAGUGCUUGGCCUAGGAACUCUCGUCCAAGUAGGCAUGGGAAGCCCAGACCCCUUGGGGCUAGAUCAAUCUAUGAUCUGACGUCCUUCAGGUUUGAGAAAUAAGGAGGACAAAUGGAAGGUCACCACCUCAAUAUGAAGGAUCACAAUAUGGAGUCAUCAUGUCUAAGAUUAC